rnacentral:lncRNA from 1 species
CUUACCUUGGGAGCCCAGAGUUGAUGUUAAUGUGAUGUCUGUUUUAGGAGUUUGUGGAGGAGCAACAUAAUGUUGCAGAUGUGCCCCAGCUGUGGAGUUACUUUGGAAACCAAGGGACAACCAACUUCUCUCUGAGGCUGGCCUGUAUCCGUCAUGCUAUGGAGGCUCUGACAUCCUCAGACAGUACCUCCCUUAAUUACCUCACCCACGCUGGGAGGAUGGUGUUGAGUGGACUGUCCAAGCUCAACCAGCAGGAUGUGAGGCAGUUUCAGCAGGCCUAUGACAUCCUGGUGAACUUCAUUAAUGAGCCAGCAAACAGGGAGCGACUAGAGCUGGAGAUGGCUCUUGUAGGAAUCAACCACAUCAACUUCACGGAUGUAUUUUAUGAAUUCGUUCUACUAAGCCUUCUAGAAGGAAAAACAUCUCUUCCAACAUCUAGGCCUGGUACCUUCUUUUAUCUGCUCAUGGAAGUGAUCAUGAGGAUUCGCCCUCCUGGAGGAGCCUGGACAGAGUCUGCUGGGAACUUCUACCUCCUCAUUAAGGUGCAUUUCUCUCUCUCUCUCUCUCUCUAUCCUGAACUGUGUGUGAUAUUUUGUUCAUCCUUAUCUUUGUAGUUGGUCAUUAAAUAAUAGUUGAUGAUGUGUCUGUUGUCGUCAGGAUCAGAUGAAGGCGUGGUUGGACUCCAUCUUCAACCUUGAUGAGUCCAUCUAUGAAAGCCCACAGAGGCUCUCGUGGCAGGUGAUGGUGAAUCUAGAAAUGCAGGUUGACUUCCUCCUGUCCAGCCUGGAUUAAGGGUCCCAAACUGAGCUGAGGAUCCCAAACAUAAAAUAAA